GCCUCCUUAGCUCAGUUGGUAGAGCACCUCACUUGUAAUGAGGCGGUCGUUGGUUCGAGUCCGACAGGGGGCU
rnacentral:tRNA from 3 species